CCUACGGGUGGCAGCAGUGGGGGAUAUUGCACAAUGGGCGGAACCCUGAUGCAGCGACGCCGCGUGGGUGAAGGAGCGUUUCGGCGCGUAAAGCUCUAUCGGCAGGGAAGAAGGUGACUGUAUCUGACGAAGAAGCCGCGGCUAACUACGUGCCAGCAGCCGCCGUAAUACGUAGGGGGCACGCGUUAUCCAGAUUUACUGGGUGGAAAGGGGGCGGAGACGGCAAUGCAAGCCAGGAGUGAAAGCCCGGGGCCUAACCACGGGACUGCUCUGGGUACGGCAUGGCUGGAGUACAGGAGGGGAGGGUGGAAUUCCUAGUGUAGCGGUGAAAUGCGUAGAUAUUGGGAGGAACACCGGUGGCGAAGGCGGGCUGCUGGACUGUGACUGACGUUGAGGCCCGAAGGCGUGGGGAGCAAACAGGAUUAGAUACCCGGGUAGUC
rnacentral:rRNA from 1 species